rnacentral:lncRNA from 1 species
CUAACACCACUCCACUACGCGGGCAGCUCGCCAGACCCAACCAAGGGCGCGUUCUGCAGUGGGCGGCUGCAGCCUCCGCACUGGCCCGGCAGCGCCCCCUUCUGUCCUCCGGCGGCCUGGCACCUGAUGUGUCACAGGCCGCGCGCUUUUUCCGGGUACUAGAACACAGUCCCGCUUACAGGGCCUCAGCCUAAAGCGGGUGGAAAACUUGUAUCACCCCCCUACACACACACACACACACACACACACACACACACACACACACACACAGCCCAGUCCUACCACCAGGCGCGACCGUCCCCUCCCUCUCCAGACGGAAGGGGCCAGGUUAACGCAGCCGCGCGCCCGCCGGGCAGGAUUCCUGCGGAGCUGUAUUUACUUUACAUCCAUGUGAACUGCUGUCAUCACUACUGUGUCCAAGCCCAGAGGAUGAACUGGAAAAGAAGAGAGGGGGAAAAUAAUAAAAAGAGGAAAUUGGUUUUCACAACACACUCAAAGCCUGAGUAACAGAGGAGAACUUUAAUUAUCUCCAGUCACAAAGAGAGACAGGAAAUUUGGACUUUUAAUUAGCCAUUUGGAGUGCAGUUGGGUAUUUUUUUAGCUAGAUAAUUUAAACGCGAAUAAUUCAAGUCUGACUAAAUGAAAGUCACAUAAUCAGAAUGCAAAUAAUUGAAUUUCUACUGCAUUCAUUAAUUCAGUGUGGAGGUGUGUGUGAAGACUACUAUGAUGAGCUGUCACAGCUCAAUAAAAUCUCAGUCAAUUAAUUUUUUCAUUAUCUUAGUAUUAUAUCAACAAAAAAGUGAAGUGUGUAUAUAUAUCUAUACACGUGCAUAUGUGCAUACUAUGUAUUAUAUAAAUACAUAUACAUUAAAUCAAAAUGCAAGG